AUAAAGAUGGCAGAAUAAGUGCGUUAGAUUUAAGCUCUAAAUAUAAAGGUUAUUAAUUUUUUCUUUAUA
rnacentral:tRNA from 1 species